rnacentral:rRNA from 1 species
UACGGAGGGUGCGAGCGUUAAUCGGAAUUACUGGGCGUAAAGCGCGCGUAGGCGGCUUUGUAAGUCGGAUGUGAAAUCCCCGGGCUUAACCUGGGAAUGCAUUCGAUACUGCAGAACUAGAGUAUGGUAGAGGGAAGUGGAAUUUCCGGUGUAGCGGUGAAAUGCGGUAGAUAUCGGGAAGGAACACCAGGUGGCGAAGGCGAUUUCCUGGGCCAAGUA